rnacentral:lncRNA from 1 species
CGCGCCCGCUUCUCGCUGGAGUGCGCACCGAGCGGCAGUGACUUCGCCGCUGCUGUAGUUCCCCGGCUGGAUGCGGUGACUGGUGCCAGUGCUCAGGCGCCCGCUGCCCUUGACCUCCCGCCCCGCGAGCCCUAACUCAGCGCAGGAGGACCGGCUGCCGCCGCCGGCUCUGAUGGUGGUGUCUGGUAGAAGGUUACUCACAGCUCUGCUGCAGGCUCAGAAGUGGCCCUUUCAACCCUCCAGAGACAUGAGACUAGUGCAGUUCUGGGCACCCCACCUGGUGGGGCCUCACUUGGGCCUGGAGACAGGGAAUGGUAGAGGGAUUAUCAACCUCAAUGCCUUUGACCCCACACUCCCAAAGACAAUGACGCAGUUCCUAGAGCAGGGAGAGGCCACCCUCUCAGUGGCAAGAAGAGCCUUGGCUGCCCAGUUGCCAGUCCUACCACGGUCGGAGGUAACCUUCCUGGCUCCAGUCACAUGGCCAGAUAAGGUGGUGUGUGUGGGCAUGAAUUAUGUGGACCACUGCAAAGAACAGAACGUGCCCGUGCCCAAGGAGCCCAUCAUCUUCAGCAAGUUUGCCAGCUCCAUCGUGGGGCCCUAUGAUGAGGUGGUCCUCCCACCACAGAGCCAGGAGGUAGAUUGGGAAGUGGAGCUGGCCGUGGUCAUUGGAAAGAAAGGCAAGCACAUCAAGGCCACAGAUGCCAUGGCCCACGUGGCCGGCUUCACUGUGGCUCAUGACGUGAGUGCUCGUGACUGGCUAACAAGAUGCAAUGGGAAACAGUGGCUGCUGGGAAAAACCUUCGACACCUUCUGCCCUCUGGGCCCUGCCUUGGUGACCAAGGACAGUGUAGCAGAUCCACACAACUUAAAGAUCUGCUGUCGAGUGAAUGGGGAAGUGGUCCAGAGCAGCAACACCAACCAGAUGGUAUUCAAGACAGAGGACCUGAUAGCCUGGGUGUCCCAGUUUGUUACCUUUUACCCAGGGGAUGUCAUCCUGACUGGGACCCCCCCACCUCCACCCAGGUGUCGGUGUAUUCAGGAAACCUCCUGUCUUUCUCAAGAAGGGGGAUGAAGUCCAGUGUGAGAUUGAAGAACUAGGUGUCAUCAUCAACAAGGUGGUGUGAUGGCUCCUGCACAGGCCCUGCACAUAGGAUGAGGGCAUCUGCUCCCACUCAGCCUAGCCCAGGGAAAGGCCCAGUGACAGGUGUGGACAGGUGCCAGCCCUGCAAGCCGCCUCUUCUCGGUAGAAGGGAGAAGGACAGAGCUCUCUUCAAUAAAUUCGUCGGGUCAAAGCAGCA